CCUUAGCCCCGAUUGUAGUGGAAAUCCUUUUUUUUGGCGUUGGCUUGAAAAAAGCGACGGCAAAAAAAGAUUGCAACGAAAAGCGGGAAAUAGC
rnacentral:sRNA from 1 species